UACGGAGGGAGCUAGCGUUGUUCGGAAUUACUGGGCGUAAAGCGCACGUAGGCGGCUUUGUAAGUUAGAGGUGAAAGCCCGGAGCUCAACUCCGGAAUUGCCUUUAAGACUGCAUCGCUUGAAUCCGGGAGAGGUGAGUGGAAUUCCGAGUGUAGAGGUGAAAUUCGUAGAUAUUCGGAAGAACACCAGUGGCGAAGGCGGCUCACUGGACCGGUAUUGACGCUGAUGCGCGAAAGCCAGGGGAGCAAACGGG
rnacentral:rRNA from 1 species